rnacentral:rRNA from 1 species
UACGUAGGGGGCAAGCGUUGUCCGGAAUCAUUGGGCGUAAAGCGUGCGUAGGCGGUUCGUUAAGUUCGUUGUGAAAGCCCCGGGCUCAACCUGGGAACUGCAAUGGAAACUGGCGGGCUUGAGUGUGGCAGAGGGGGGUGGAAUUCCGCGUGUAGCAGUGAAAUGCGUAGAGAUGCGGAGGAACACCGAUGGCGAAGGCAGCCCCCUGGGCCAACACUGACGCUCAGGCACGAAAGCGUGGGGAGCAAACAGG